rnacentral:rRNA from 1 species
AUACGGGGGGUGCAAGCGUUAAUCGGAAUUACUGGGCGUAAAGCGCGCGUAGGCGGUUAAAUAAGUUGGAUGUGAAAUCCCCGGGCUCAACCUGGGAACUGCAUUCAAAACUGUUUAACUAGAGUAUGGUAGAGGGAAGUGGAAUUCCAGGUGUAGCGGUGAAAUGCGUAGAUAUCUGGAGGAACAUCAGUGGCGAAGGCGACUUCCUGGAUCAAUACUGACGCUGAGGUGCGAAAGCGUGGGGAGCAAACAGGAUUAGAAACCCCAGUAGACC